GAGUUUGAUCCUGGCUCAGAUUGAACGCUGGCGGCAGGCUUAACACAUGCAAGUCGAGCGGAGAGAGGUAGCUUGCUACUGAUCUUAGCGGCGGACGGGUGAGUAAUGCUUAGGAAUCUGCCUAUUAGUGGGGGACAACAUUUCGAAAGGAAUGCUAAUACCGCAUACGUCCUACGGGAGAAAGCAGGGGAUCUUCGGACCUUGCGCUAAUAGAUGAGCCUAAGUCGGAUUAGCUAGUUGGUGGGGUAAAGGCCUACCAAGGCGACGAUCUGUAGCGGGUCUGAGAGGAUGAUCCGCCACACUGGGACUGAGACACGGUUCAGACUCCUACGGGAGGCAGCAGUGGGGAAUAUUGGACAAUGGGCGCAAGCCUGAUCCAGCCAUGCCGCGUGUGUGAAGAAGGCCUUAUGGUUGUAAAGCACUUUAAGCGAGGAGGAGGCUACUUUAGUUAAUACCUAGAGAUAGUGGACGUUACUCGCAGAAUAAGCACCGGCUAACUCUGUGCCAGCAGCCGCGGUAAUACAGAGGGUGCAAGCGUUAAUCGGAUUUACUGGGCGUAAAGCGCGCGUAGGCGGCUAAUUAAGUCAAAUGUGAAAUCCCCGAGCUUAACUUGGGAAUUGCAUUCGAUACUGGUUAGCUAGAGUGUGGGAGAGGAUGGUAGAAUUCCAGGUGUAGCGGUGAAAUGCGUAGAGAUCUGGAGGAAUACCGAUGGCGAAGGCAGCCAUCUGGCCUAACACUGACGCUGAGGUGCGAAAGCAUGGGGAGCAAACAGGAUUAGAUACCCUGGUAGUCCAUGCCGUAAACGAUGUCUACUAGCCGUUGGGCCCUUUGAGGCUUUAGUGGCGCAGCUAACGCGAUAAGUAGACCGCCUGGGGAGUACGGUCGCAAGACUAAAACUCAAAUGAACUGACGGGGGCCCGCACAAGCGGUGGAGCAUGUGGUUUAAUUCGAUGCAACGCGAAGAACCUUACCUGGCCUUGACAUAGUAAGAACUUUCCAGAGAUGGAUUGGUGCCUUCGGGAACUUACAUACAGGUGCUGCAUGGCUGUCGUCAGCUCGUGUCGUGAGAUGUUGGGUUAAGUCCCGCAACGAGCGCAACCCUUUUCCUUAUUUGCCAGCGAGUAAUGUCGGGAACUUUAAGGAUACUGCCAGUGACAAACUGGAGGAAGGCGGGGACGACGUCAAGUCAUCAUGGCCCUUACGGCCAGGGCUACACACGUGCUACAAUGGUCGGUACAAAGGGUUGCUACCUAGCGAUAGGAUGCUAAUCUCAAAAAGCCGAUCGUAGUCCGGAUUGGAGUCUGCAACUCGACUCCAUGAAGUCGGAAUCGCUAGUAAUCGCGGAUCAGAAUGCCGCGGUGAAUACGUUCCCGGGCCUUGUACACACCGCCCGUCACACCAUGGGAGUUUGUUGCACCAGAAGUAGCUAGCCUAACUGCAAAGAGGGCGGUUACCACGGUGUGGCCGAUGACUGGGGUGAAGUCGUAACAAGGUAACCG
rnacentral:rRNA from 1 species